rnacentral:rRNA from 1 species
AUGCUUACCUUGUCCUCUGGCUGCUUCGUGGAGGAGAGAGCUGCUCUGCUGGACAUCCGGUCUUCUCUGAUAAGAGCGCAUUCCCCGAUUGCGCUUGAUUCAUGGGGGAAGGAUGGUGAUGACUGCUGCUCGUGGGAGCGUGUGAAAUGCAACAAUACAACACAGCGAGUGUCUCACCUCGACCUUUCCUCUGUAUAUUUCACGAUGGAUGUAGACGAUCGUUGGUAUUUAAACUUUACAGUGUUUUCUGCAUUCCAUGAGCUUCAGUACCUAGAUCUAUCUUACAACUAUCAGUGUUCACUAAGCUCGGAAGGGUUUGUUGGACUAGCCAAGCUUCGUUAUCUCAACCUCAGUGACACUAUGUGGGAAGUGGGUUUCCCGGAAUUUAUAGGAGAAAUUGUCUCACUGGAAGUCUUAACUCUCAGUGGUAACAGAAUGACCGGAGGUCUUCCGGACGCAGCUGUUAAAUAUCUUAGGAACUUGCGAAUAUUGAAUAUGUCCUGGAGUAACUUCAAUGGAAGCCUACCGGAAUCAUUAUUCUCACUUCCUCAUCUAAAGAUCCUAGAUCUCUCCAUAAAUAACUUCGGUGGGCAUAUUCCAAUCAGUUCCUCCUCUGGACCAAUUUUACUUGAAGUGUUAGAUCUCAGCUAUAAUAACCUCAGUGGAAAUCUCCCAGUUACAGCAUUUGAAAGUCUACAGAACCUACGAGAGUUGUAUCUGAGUUCCAACCAAUUCAUCGGAAACAUCCCAACAUUCUUGUUUUCGCUUCCACAUAUUGAACAGUUAAAUCUCUCAACUAAUUAUUUUGAAGGACCAUUUCCAAUAAAUCCAUCUUCGGACCUUUCAUUGUCGCUUAAGAGUCUUCGGUUCUCCCAAAACAAUCUGAGUGGUAGACUUGCUUUCGUUUGGCUUGGAAACCUCACAAAACUUGAAGAGAUAGAUCUUUCAGGCAAUGCUAAACUAGUUAUUGACGUCAAUAUUCCUGGAUGGACACCUCCGUUCCAGUUGAAACAGUUAUUGCUCUGUGGUUGUGAUCUUGACAAGAACAUUAUUUCAAGACCAGAAUUUUUAGGCACACAGCGUCACUUAAAGGUGCUUGAUUUGUCCAACAAUAACUUAUCAGGUAGCAUGCCAAAUUGGUUAUUUACAAAGGAAGCAACACUACAGGAUCUAAAUCUUAGGAAUAACUCGCUAACUGGAUCCCUGGACCCAAUUUGGCAUACCCAAUCUUCUCUCAGCCGUAUCGACAUACACAUGAACCAUGUCACAGGAGAGCUGCCGGCCAACCUCAGCUCAAUGUUUCCAGUUUUGUAUGAUCUAGAUUUUUCUAUUAAUGACUUGUUUGGGCACAUACCAACGUCAAUGUGCGAGAUCAGCUCCAUCGGAUAUUUAGACCUAUCAAACAACAAACUUUCUGGGGAGGUUCCAGCUUGUGUUUUUACUAAUUAUCCGGAGCUAUCCGUCUUGAAGGUCUCAAACAACAAGCUUGGUGGUCCGAUUUUUGGUGGGAUGAAUAAUCUGUCCAAUAUAUAUGAAUUGCGCUUGGAUGGUAACAAAUUUAAAGGGACAUUGCCUCAUGAUCUGGCAGGAAAGUUAGUAAGAGUCAUUGAUUUGCAUGAUAACCAGCUGUCUGGCGAACUCAAUGUGUCAUUUUGGAAUAUGUCUUAUUUGAGAGUCCUGAAUCUUGCUGGCAACCGUAUAACCGGCAAAAUUGACCAACACAUUUGUGGCUUCACAGAAAUUCACCUUUUAGAUCUGUCGCGCAACAACCUUACAGGGUCUGUACCAAACAGUUGCUUCAUAGUGCUGAAUUUUCUUAACCUUACUGGGAACUCAUUAUCUGGCGAUAUCUCUUUUCCCCUUUUCAACACAUCAAGUCUAAUUGCUUUGGAUGUCAGACACAAUCAGUUCAUGGGCAACGUCAAUUGGGUAGGUUACCUUGAAAACAUUAGGCUACUUUCACUGGGUGGAAAUAAGUUUGAAGGGCAGAUCACUCCAAACCUGUGCAGACUCAUGUACCUGAGGAUAAUAGAUUUGUCCCAUAACAAGCUUUCAGGUUCUCUGCCAGCUUGUAUCGGUAAUAUCUCUUUUAAAGGUGACACAAAUGAUCAAUUUUUUCAGCCAGCAAAUGAGAUUACGUGGGUGUCGGACGACUACACUACUUCCUAUGAAUUAAUGUACUUCACUUUUGCUACCAAAGGGAAUUUCUAUACAUACGGCCGCAGUUUCUUUGUUUCAAUGUCUGGCAUCGACCUAUCUGCAAACAUGUUGGAUGGAGAAAUUCCUUGGGAGCUAGGAAAUCUUAACCAUGUCAAAUCCCUUAAUCUGUCAUACAAUUUAUUUGUUGGACCAAUCCCAACAACCUUUGGCAGUCUGAAGGAUAUAGAAAGCUUGGACCUCUCCCACAAUAAGUUGAGUGGACCGAUACCUUGGCAGUUAACCCAGUUAUCUUCUUUGGGGGUGUUCUCUGUGGCAUACAACAACUUGUCGGGAUGUAUACCAAACUCUGGUCAGCUUGGCUCAUUCAGCAUGGACAGCUACGUAACUGACCUUCACAAUAUUACACAGGGGAACAUGUGCGCUCCCGGUCCAGAUCCCGUGGUAGAGGAAGAUGUGGGAGAGGUGCCUAGUGACCCAGUCCUAUACAUAGUCACGGCUGCCUCAUUCGUGUUGGCAUUUUGGGCCAGUGUUGCGUUCUCAUUUUGCCAUCCGCACGGGAGGACUAUAAUCCUCAAGCUGUAG